rnacentral:rRNA from 1 species
GAGCGGCGAACGGGUGAGUAACACGUGAGCAACCUACCCUUCACUUCGGGAUAAGCCUCGGAAACGGGGUCUAAUACCGGAUAUCACUCUUGGUUUCAUGACUGNGGGUUGAAAGUUCUGGCGGUGGGGGAUGGGCUCGCGGCCUAUCAGCUUGUUGGUGGGGUAAUGGCCUACCAAGGCGUCGACGGGUAGCCGGCCUGAGAGGGCGACCGGCCACACUGGGACUGAGACACGGCCCAGACUCCUACGGGAGGCAGCAGUGGGGAAUAUUGCGCAAUGGACGGAAGUCUGACGCAGCAACGCCGCGUGAGGGAUGACGGCCUUCGGGUUGUAAACCUCUUUCAGCAGGGACGAAGCGAGAGUGACGGUACCUGCAGAAGAAGGACCGGCCAACUACGUGCCAGCAGCCGCGGUAAUACGUAGGGUCCGAGCGUUGUCCGGAAUUAUUGGGCGUAAAGGGCUCGUAGGCGGUUCGUCGCGUCGGGAGUGAAAACUCGGAGCUCAACUCCGAGCCUGCUUCCGAUACGGGCAGA